UUAAAGAAUAUGGUUACAGGUAAUUCCAUCCUGAAUGUUAAGGAUGGGAUUUAAAAGGGAAUCCCUUGUAAUAGAGGGAACGGACCCGCCGCUGUAGUCGAUGACGAAAAUUGCCAGGCCACUGUUCGCCACAGGCGUAUGGGAAGGCGCAAUGAGUAGGACGAUUCGAUAGUCAGAAGACCUGCCUGUAAUUGCUUCACAUG
rnacentral:ncRNA from 2 species